GAUGAACGCUGGCGGCGUGCUUAACACAUGCAAGUCGAACGGAAAGGCCCUGCUCUUGUGUCGUUCUCGAUUGCCGAACGGGUGAGUAACACGCGUGUAUCCUGUCCUUGUCUUUGUGAUAUCUUUAGGAAACUGGGGCUCAUACCGCAUAGGAUCUUCUGCUGCAUGGUGUGCGAUGGAAAGUUUCGGCGGUUGGGGAUGGACUCGCGGCUUAUCAGCUUCUUGGUGGGGUAGUGGCUUACCAAGGCUUUGACGGCUAGCCGGCCUGAGAGGGUGAACGGCCACAAUGGGACUGAGAGACGGAGCAGUAUCCUACGGGAGGCAGCAGUGGGGAAUAUUGCACAGUGGGCGGAAGCCUGAGGCAGCAACGCCGCGUGCGGGAUGACGGCCUUCGGGUUGUAAACCGCUGUCGCCUGUGACGAAGCGUGAGUGACGGUAAUGGGUAAAGAAGCACCGGCUAACUACGUG
rnacentral:rRNA from 1 species